rnacentral:lncRNA from 1 species
UCAUUAUAGGUAGACUUCAGCCGAGCUUCUUCGUAGCCGGAUCCCAGACGAGUUUGUAUAGCGGGACAGGACCCACCGGCCAGAUUGCUACUCCUAGCUCCCACGACAACCGACCUUCGAUCGAGCUUCUACAAUAAGCAGUCUCCUUUCAGCCCUCUGCAAGAACCAAACCUCGAUCGAACUUCCAUAGCGAAUGGAUAUCGGACGAGCUUCUACGACGGACGGACUCCGGCAGCUGGAUUCUUACAACGAUCGAUCGCCUUCGACGUUUGCCGAACCUUCCCAGCACCAUCCGAAGUCCAUCGUCGGCCGACCUCCCGCCAGAUCCUUCAUGAAAUCGAACUUCUCCGGUGGAUCAUCUUCAGACGAGCUUCCACAUCAGGCGAAUCCCAGAUAGACUCCUCUAGCAAUCGGACUCCUACCGGGCUUCACCAAUGGAAAGUCUCCAUCUGAGCUUCUCCCAGAUCGACGGGAUAGAGAGCCAUCUCGCUCCGUCAGAUGUCCCAACCGAGCUUCAACCGACAGAUCCGAACUCUCUGGCAAGUCACGACAAUGGCCACUACCCUGCUCCACUCUCUGCAGUGGAUUCCGUGUGGCUCCACUACUCUCUGGCAAGUCACGACAACGGACACCACUCUACCCUCUGUAGCAAACUCCACGUGGCUCUGAACAACCCCUGAUGCCACUACUCUCUGUAACAAACUUUAGGCGGCUCUGAAUGGCCCACUACCAGGCAGUUACAGACAUCACUGUCAAGCAGUUACGCUCUCCGUCUAUAAAAAGGGAUCCCCAGAUAUGUUCUUCUCUAAGCUCAAAAACUCUAUCUCAAAAUUCUGCUAAAAUUCUCACUCGAGCACUCCAUUUCUGUUGAAGCAGAGUACUGACUUAAGCAU